GCAAGUCGAACGGUAAGGUCCCGCUUGCGGGAUACACGAGUGGCGCACGGGUGAGUAACGCGUAUGCAACCUACCUUUAACUGGAGAAUAGCCCCGAGAAAUCGGGAUUAAUACUUCAUAACAAUAAAUUUUGGCAUCAUUAUUUAUUUAAAGCUCCGGCGGUUAAAGAUGGGCAUGCGUGACAUUAGAUAGUUGGUGAGGUAACGGAUCACCAAGUCAGCGAUGUCUAGGGGUUCUGGAGGAUUUU
rnacentral:rRNA from 1 species